rnacentral:rRNA from 1 species
AUGGAAAAGGCCUGCACAAACCUCACCGAUGUCGUGCGCUCGGUGCGGCUGCUCAAGAUUAAGGGCUAUAGCUUGACAAGGGACAUCAGCAGCGACCAUUGCUUUAAAUCCAGAUGGAAUGUCGAUGGGUACGAGUGGGAAAUCCGUAUAUAUCCAAGGUCCCGGGAGUCCAAUCAUGUCAACGGAAGAUGCGUGGCUCUGCAUCUUAUCUUCCUCAGUGAAGCCCGCAUGGGGGCUGUGAGAACGACUCUGCGCUGCUGCUUGGUAGAUCCGAGAGGAAUAUUUAAACCAUCUAGAGAAGAUCGUCGGUCUCUAACAUUCAGGAAGCCCCAGGACACCUCGUACACGGUGAUUCUGAUGGAAAAAGAUGAGUUUGAAGCAUCGGGUUAUGUCAAGGAUGAUUCUUUUACCGUGCAAUGCACCCUUGACGUUCUCAAGGAACUACCAGAUGCAACAGCCCCACUUAAAGAACUGCAUCUGCCAUCAUGUAACCUGCACCUGCAAUUUGCUCAACUCCUUCAGAGCGAGACCGGAGCGGACGUCACAUUUCUCGUGUCCGGCGAAUCCUUCGCUGCGCACAAGCUCAUCCUCGCUGCAAGGUCCCCUGUCUUCAUGGCCGAGUUCUUUGGAAACAUGAAGGAGAAGUGCUCGCAGAGUGUGGAGAUCGAGGACAUGGAGGCUGAGGUGUUCAAGGCCCUUCUUAAGUUCAUCUACACCGACACUGUGCCGGAAUUCAGACAUCAGGCGGAGGUGGAUGCGGAGGCCGUCUACACUGACUCUGUUCCAGAGUUCGAACAACAGGAGGAGGUGGAUGCGGAGGCGGCGACGGUGAUGGCUCAGCAUCUGCUUGCUGCUGCUGACAGGUAUGGACUGGACAGGCUCAAGCUCAUCUGCGCCCGCGAGCUCUCUGGUGGCAUCAACAUCGACACGGCAGCGACAGCUUUGGCUUUAGCCGAGCAGCACAACUGCCCGGAGCUAAAGGCGACGUGUGCUGAUUUCAUUAUCAGAACCUCUGCCACUCUUGAUGCCGUGUUGGCGACGGAGGGGUUUAAGCACCUCGAGGAAAGCUGCCCACUGGUGGUGAUUGACCUUCUCAAGUCCGCGCGAGGAAGAAAAACUUGA